CGUUGUCCGGAUUCACUGGGUUUAAAGGGUGCGUAGGUGGGUUGGUAAGUCAGUGGUGAAAUCUCCAGGCUUAACUUGGAAACUGCCAUUGAUACUAUCAAUCUUGAAUACCGUGGAGGUCAGCGGAAUAUGUCAUGUAGCGGUGAAAUGCUUAGAUAUGACAUAGAACACCAAUCGCGAAGGCAGCUGGCUACACGAAUAUUGACACUGAUGCACGAAAGCGUGGGGAUCAAACAGG
rnacentral:rRNA from 1 species